UACGUAGGUGGCAAGCGUUGUCCGGAUUUAUUGGGUUUAAAGGGUGCGUAGGCGGUCCUAUAAGUCAGUGCUGAAAUAUCCCGGCUUAACCGGGAGGGUGGCAUUGAUACUGUGGGACUUGAGUAAAGUUGAGGUUGGCGGAAUUGACGGUGUAGCGGUGAAAUGCUUAGAUAUCGUCAAGAACACCUAUUGCGAAGGCAGCUAACUAAGCUUUAACUGACGCUGAGGCACGAAAGUGUGGGGAUCAAACAGG
rnacentral:rRNA from 1 species